GGGGAAUAUUGCACAAUGGGCGAAAGCCUGAUGCAGCGACGCCGCGUGGGGGAUGAAGGCCUUCGGGUCGUAAACCCCUUUCAGCAGGGAAGAAGCGAAAGUGACGGUACCUGCAGAAGAAGCGCCGGCUAACUACGUGCCAGCAGCCGCGGUAAUACGUAGGGCGCAAGCGUUGUCCGGAAUUAUUGGGCGUAAAGAGCUCGUAGGCGGUUUGUCGCGUCUGCUGUGAAAACCCGAGGCUCAACCUCGGGCCUGCAGUGGGUACGGGCAGACUAGAGUGCGGUAGGGGAGACUGGAAUUCCUGGUGUAGCGGUGGAAUGCGCAGAUAUCAGGAGGAACACCGAUGGCGAAGGCAGGUCUCUGGGCCGCAACUGACGCUGAGGAGCGAAAGCAUGGGGAGCGAAC
rnacentral:rRNA from 1 species